UAAUUUUAUAAAGCUCCAGCUGUUGACCAGCACUAUCAGUCAGUGUCAACUGUCAUUUCUUAAUUACUGUACAUAGUUAAUUUGUUUUUCUAAUUUGUUUGAAAGCACGGAGAUAAGUGCCAUUUAUGUCAUCAGUGCUGUUGUGAUAUUUUUUUAACAGCAGAAUUAUUCUAAAACCUUUUUUUAUAGUACUGCUCUAGUGUCGUCGUGUGACAUUUCCGGCCAUCUGUGUUUGACAUAACCUACAAAAUAAGUACAGCUUUUGCUUGUUUGCAUAGGGUUUGAUUUGAUUGCAAUAACGUUGUUUAAUUAUUUAUUAAAAGUAUGAUUGAUGAUCCCAUAAAAGAGAGAGAGUAGUCCAAAAACUCAACGAAGAAUUUGGAAAUGAUGUCAAAAAUUUAUCAAAAUGUGAAUCGUUACUGAGUAAAUUUUCUAAAGAGAAAGAAACUAUUGAAAAAGAGAUAGUGAAAGCACGUGAAAAUGUUUCUUCACCUGAUGCUGUCCAUGAAGUCGAUGGCAUAUCUCACACAGUUGAUGAGAUUACAGAAAAUUUUAAUAAACUAUGUGCCACUGUCAAGGAAAAAGAUACCAGUAGUAGUAAAACAUUUAGUGAACUGCAGGUGAAAAUUAAGAAAAUACAACAGUUAGAACAAGGGGUCUCUUAUCUGCGAUGUGUACGCUCCAUUCAAGAUCUGAGUUCUAAUAUGGAAAUGUACUUGGCGUCACGAAGUGAGGCAGAAGCAAUAGCGGAAUUCGGUGUCCUGUGUGAAAUGUGUGCUCGCCUUCAUACCUCCAAAUGCAGCCAUCUUUACCACCUAUCUGAGUGACACG